rnacentral:rRNA from 1 species
CAGUCGCCACGGUAAUACGGAGGGGGCUAGCGUUAUUCGGAAUUACUGGGCGUAAAGCGCACGUAGGCGGCUUUGCAAGUCAGAGGUGAAAGCCUGGGGCUCAACUCCAGAAUUGCCUUUGAGACUGCGUCGCUCGAAUCCGGGAGAGGUGAGUGGAAUUCCGAGUGUAGAGGUGAAAUUCGUAGAUAUUCGGAAGAACACCAGUGGCGAAGGCGGCUCACUGGACCGGCAUUGACGCUGAGGUGCGAAAGCGUGGGGAGCAAACAGGAUUAGAUACCCGAGUAGUCCCUGUCUCUUAUAU